GAAAGACGGAAGGAGCCAAGAGUUUUAGAGCCAACUCCUGGAGAGGGAGCGGCUGAACUGAUUCGGAAGUUGGAUCUCUUUGUACACAGGAAUGCAGAGGAAAAAAAAAAAAAACAAAACCCACCCCAUUGCUUCAUUUCCCCUCCAAGCCCGAGCACUUUCUAUUGUGCAAUUAAAAGGCUUUUUUCAAGUUGAGAAAAGUGAAUCCCGAAUUUGCGCUGCAAGCGAGGGCAAUCCAGGGCGCAUCCUCCGCGCGCCGCUCCGGGGUAGCGCCAGCGGGAGCGUUGGACUCCGGGAACCCCGAGGGCGGAGAGCUCCCCACUACGCCUGGGCCUCCCAGGUACGCGCGGGCCGGGCCGGGCCUGGCGGGCUGGCGGCGGGCGCGCCCAGACGUGGGUACCUCCUCACCCGGACCUCGGGCCGCGCCGCGCCGCCUCCUGGCUCCCGUGGCCACCAGCCCGCCCCGGCCUCCCCAAGCGUCGGGCUCCGAGGUGGGGGCGCGCCCCUCCCCGUCCCCCGGACACCUCAGUCCUCUGCACUGAGCUUGGCCACGCUCCCUUGGGCGCCCCCCACGCCCCGGGCUCCGGAGGGCCGCAGCCAUGAGUGAAAUGUUCAGCUUUCUCCACAUCGGGGACAUCGUCUCCCUGUACGCCGAGGGCUCUGUCAAUGGCUUCAUCAGCACUUUGGGGUAAGUCUAGCUCGAGAGGGGCGCGGGCAAAGAGGGGGCGCCGUGGGCCUUGGUGCCAGCUGCGUGCGUCUUGCCGCCGCCCUCCGACAGAGGGCCUGGAAGUCCCCCCAGCCUCAAGGAGCGGGGAACGCCUCGUCUCCUUCUUUUAGAGAAAGGAAGUGAAGUGUUUGCUCAGGUAGGACUCGGGCUCCCUACUGGAGUUGGCAGGAGGAGCCCCCAUCGGCGCAGCCUCUACCCUCCUGCACAAGCCUUUGGAGGGGGCGGAGGGGCCGAGACUUCCUUUGCAGGUGGUCCCCGGGGCAGGUGGGUGGCUGGAGGCUGAGUUGGAGAAGGGCAGCCGGGCCUGGAUGUGACCAGCUCUGAGGCCAGGGCGGAGCUGUGGGAGGUGGGCAGGCUCUGCUUGGAGCCCGGAAUCCUCCGUGGUGCCUUUGAGGGGUCUCACCUUCUCCUCACAGCUCUCUCCCUGUUCUUUCCAGCUUCAGUAGGAGUGUCUUAGCCCUCCCCUUCCAGGCUUUCAGGUCCUGGCCAGCUGCCCCUUCUCCCCGCCUCUCCCGUUCAAUUUCCUGCACUCGUCAUCUGGCGCCCUUGGGUCCCUGGUUCUAGCUUCUCUCCAGCACUU
rnacentral:lncRNA from 13 species